rnacentral:rRNA from 1 species
UGCGUAGGCGGGCGAAUAAGUCAGUGGUGAAAUCUCUCGGCUCAACCGGGAAACUGCCAUUGAUACUGUUAGUCUUGAGUUCGGUUGAGGUAGGCGGAAUGUGUAAUGUAGCGGUGAAAUGCUUAGAUAUUACACAGAACACCAAUUGCGUAGGCAGCUUACUAGACCGACACUGACGCUGAGGCACGAAAGCGUGGGGAGCGAACAGGAUUAGAUACCCUGGUAGUCC